CCUACGGGAGGCAGCAGUGGGGAAUAUUGCGCAAUGGGGGAAACCCUGACGCAGCAACGCCGCGUGAGUGAAGACGUAUCUCGGUAUGUAAAGCUCUAUCAGCGGGGAAGAAGGAAGACGGUACCCGACUAAGAAGCCCCGGCUAACUACGUGCCAGCAGCCGCGGUAAUACGUAGGGGGCGAGCGUUAUCCGGAUUUACUGGGUGUAAAGGGAGCGUAGACGGCGUCGCAAGUCUGAAGUAAAAGCCCGUGACUCAACCGCGGAACCGCUUUGGAAACUGCGAGGCUGGAGUGCUGGAGAGGUA
rnacentral:rRNA from 1 species